GCCCUGAUAGCUGAGUGGAAAGUGCUCUGGACUCGUAAUCCUAGGGGUCCGGGUUCAAUCCCCGGUCAUGGCA